ensembl:snoRNA LOC120102682 small nucleolar RNA SNORA17
UCUGCCACCUACAGGUAUAGCAUGUAUUUCUUUUGUACCACACAUGUAUCAGUAGGUGACAGAGAAGGGAGGGGUUGUGUCUCUGAUCAGUAUUCUGGCCUAUAAACAUCUGAAUGGUUAGUAGCCAAGCAUU